CGCUUGACGGAAGCUCCGCCCCGCAGCGGCCCGAGGCUUGUCUACACUCUUGCUGUCUUCUGAGCCGGGUUUCUACACUACCUGUGAAGAAUCAGCUGCGGUGCCCACCGCUCAGCGCCUGCGCGGGCUGCGGCCGUCCGUCACCAUGACAGCGACCGCUGGCGGCCCUGGAUCUUGGAGUGAAAAUAUAUUGGAAUAUUUUCUGAGAAAUAGCCAGAUCACAACAGAAGAUGGUGCCCAGAUCAUCUGGUGUCAUGCAGCUAACCACAAGGCACAAGUGAAUGAAGCACUGAACAGUACUGCUCACAUGAUAGAGGCCGACGUCCUUCUUCCAGGUGAUGGAUCUGAAUGUAGUCAGCCAAUCAUGGCCCAUCCUCCUGAAACAACCAGUGAUAAUACUUUACAGGAAUGGCUGACUGAAGUUAUGAAAAGCAAUAAAGGCAUCAAGCUAGAUUUUAAGAGUUUGGCAGCUGUGGAACCAUCCAUGAGGCUCUUGGAAAAUGUGAAGAGGCAUCUGCAGCGUCCUGUGUGGAUUAAUGCUGACAUUCUUGUUGGUCCAAAUGGAAAUAGCACAGUAGUGGAUGCAAAACCUUUUAUAGACAUAGUGACAUCUUUCUUUCCAGAUGUGACAUUUUCCUUGGGUUGGACAACAGGAUGGCAUCCUGAGAAAGUUAAUGAAGGAUACAGUUGGGCAAUGGUGAAAGAAAUGGAAUAUAUAUGUAAUGAAAUAAGUCAGCCAGUAACAUUUCCUGUCAGAGCAGCAUUAGUCAGGCAGUCUUGUUCUCAGUUACUUUGGCUGUUAAAGAAAUCAAACAGGUUCUUGGGUCUAAUGUAUUGAUGUUGAGAGCCCAUAGCAUCCAAGGGCUAUCUCCCAAGCCUGGAAGAACAGUCCUAGCCCUGGAAAAGAGAACUUCAUAUCAUAACUUUGGGAAAAUAGGAACUGUUGGCAUAAACACUUUUUGACCACAAGGAAGAAGGCUGGAAAUCUUGUUGGCAUUCAUAUCUGAGAUGAGAGGGCACCACCUUCUAGCAGGAGUCUUGUGAGGCGAAGCCGGCUCUGAUGGACUGCUUUGAUGAGGGAAUUUCCAUCACUUGAAAUCUCUACACCUUCAUCCAUCUUCAAAAGUUAGAAUCAAUACCUGGUUAUCAAAGAAGACGAAGAACAAAAGAUUAGCCAGAAUCAAUGGAUGAAAAGUAUUUGGAUUAUAAGACAUUAAAGUUACUGACAAGAUGUCUGGAAUUCACACUGAGGAAUUUGCCCUGCCUAGGAGAAACUACCUGAGUACUGACCACGGAGAAUCCCCAACAUGCCAACAGAUCAUCCCACAGUAAAGCUUAAAGAUCUUUUAUUUUGCCUCAUCCAUUUGCACAUCAAAAAUGCUGAUCCUGAAGUGUGACUUCCCCACUUACUCUUCAUAGAGGUAAGUGUUACCUGUGAUGAAGACCAUUCCAUAGCCUACUAUUAUAGUUGAGAUAUCCUUUAAGUGCAUAUUCCUUAUAGUUUCCAAAUACAAUAGUUUCAGCAUUAUUAUAAGAUAUUAAACAGCUUGAUGAAUUGCUUUUUAUUUUUAAAUUAGAAUAUCUUUAACAUUACUAGCAAUUCAUCAUGGCAUAGUUACUAAUACUCUUUUAGUGCCUUAAGACCCUAUUCUUAAGACCCCAGUAAAAUUACAGUUUAUUUUUUAAAAUUAAAAAUGUAUAUUCUGAAGAACAAAAAACAGGGUGAGUGAUAUCAUCAGAUGAACAAUUUUGAACAAGCUUUGGAAAAAGAGGGAGAUGGUGGUGUGGUAAACUGCCUUAGCAUAGCACCUGGGGAGGUGUCACCCGAUGAGAAGGGAGCUAGCUUACCCACAGAAUCCAUGAAGUUUGGGAUUUAGAGGUACCACGUGACACAGAAAGUGGCAGUGAGGCAAAGGGCUGAAAGGGAGAGGAUGAUUCAGAGUCUGUGGAUAGAACAACUGGAUCACAGGUACUUUACCCCCAACUGAGUAGACAACCACUCUUACAGGAGAGAAAACAAAGAUUUAUCCUCUGAAGAGAAUAGGCCCCAAACUUGGAGGCAGUAUGCUGGAAACAGGGGAUAAAGUGAGAGUCUAUAGGCUGAAUGGUGGGAUUUCCAGCUGUCUGCUCUGCUACCAGCAGACUGGAAGCCCGGAAAAGAAAAAGCACUGGACCUUAGAAUUAAAGCAUUAUGAAGAAUAUCUGUCGAUAAAUGAAGCAAUUCAAACCAUAACUACAUUCACCUCUCCAGACACCCACUCUAAAUGGAAAUAGAAAGUUACCUGAAAAUGUUUUUCAAAAUUUCAUACUUCACUUAUGUCUUUUCUCUCCCUGGAUGAGUUUUUUUGUCAGCCAGCUGUCAGUUCCUACUGAAGGAAAUCAAAGCUAUUCAGUUACAUAAAUACUAAUAAUUUGUUCUACACAUCUCUCUAAUAUGCCAUUUUAUCAUCUUGUUAAAGACGAGUUCUUUAAUUCCAUGCUAAGACAUUAUAUGUUUGUUCGGUUAAUCAUAUUUCACUGAUUAUGAGUCUAUAAAAGAGUCUGGUGUGGAUCCUCUGCAUGGUAAUCAUGUGUGUGUGUGUGUGUGUGUGUGUGUGUGUGCGUGUGUGUGUGCACGUGCGCAUGCGUGCAUGCACACCUGCAGGGCUCAGCUUAUCCUGCAAGGAUGCUGAGGUUGGAAGGACCAUGGCACUACCUGGGCCAGCCCCUACUCUGUGCAAACACGGAAGCUGAAGAAGGAAAUGGGGGCGAACUCUCCCAAAGUCACUCCUCUUACCUGCUCACCAGGACUUAAUUAGAUGUUCCUUUGUCCCUUCUCUUCUGGUUACUGCUUCUUGGAUAGCACCUUCCCACAGAAUAGGGUUCUGUUUUGAGUACCUGAUUUGUGUUAUAUCUAACACAGCAGUGCCAUGUGGGCUGAGCUGCUUUAAGAGACAUCUUGUAGGUGUGAGGCUUGGCCUUUCCUGUGGCUUUAUCUCCCCAAGCCACCCCCAGUAUUCCUUUUAUUCAGAGAAAUGUUAAUUUUUUGUGAGCCUCUUAGCCCACCUCUAAACAGGAUCGUACUUGCCAUGAAGUUAGUUGUCAGUUCAGGAGGGAAGCACCGCAGGGUGGAAAUUAGCAAAUGCUUUCAAGCUCAAAAUUCAACCCUUCACCGUUGCCCCAGGUUGCCCUAUCUAGUGCUCCCCACAAGGGGACCAGAAUGUGCUCAGAGGAGGCAGCAGGCUGUGUCUCUUCCCAAAUUACCAACCCUUGGGAAGCUAUUCUUCUGAGCCUCAGUUUCCUCUUAACCUAAAGUGGGGAUAUGUACUUUAUAGAUGAUAAAUGUGAGGUUUUCAAAAGAUUCUAAUACACCUGCCACUUAGGAAUUCAACAAAUGUUGGUUUCUAAACGUACAUCGUACAUCACUAGAUGUGAAUCCCCUGGAGGGUAGGGUCUGACAAUGGGCAACCAGGGUGCCUAUACCAGUGGGUCCUCCACCUUCUGUGGGCAAAGAGUUCCAUGGAGAGACUGUUAAAAAUAAGAGUUCAGGCUGCACUCCCAGAUAUUCAAUAGGGAGUGCUUGCUGUGCACACUUGGAGAAACUGCAAUAAGCUCUCAUUUCUGUUUGCUAUCAGCCCCUGCCUCAGGCUCCCACUAAGCUGUGUCCCUCAUCAUCUCCAAGGGUCUGAUGCUCAGCUCUCCUGCUGCAGAGAUAACUGAAGCACUGAGCCAUUAGAGGAGGGACACAGGAACAUGGCCUAGAGAGGGGUAAAGGGAGCCCACAGGUCUAGAGAAGAGUACAGCCUUGAGCUAGAAUGGGCUAGGGACUGGAGGUCUGCUGUCCUGCCCUUCCCAGACAGGUUUGAAAACCUCCAGAGUUGCAGCGGGCAGCCCAAGGCCUGGAUGCAGGGGCCAGUGGCACUUGGACCAAGACAAGCUUGACUGUCACAAGAAAAAUAUGUGUCUCCUCCACACAGAAAGGAAAGGGGCAGCCCCAGAACAAAAGGUGCAUCUGAGAUUGUCCUAGAAAAUGUAACGACUUACCAGGAAAAGUGUCUUUCCUCUGGCACCGGCUUGUAAAAGAUUUUUAGAAA